rnacentral:rRNA from 1 species
UACGUAGGGUCCGAGCGUUGUCCGGAAUUAUUGGGCGUAAAGAGCUCGUAGGCGGUUUGUCGCGUCUGCUGUGAAAUCCCGAGGCUCAACCUCGGGCCUGCAGUGGGUACGGGCAGACUAGAGUGUGGUAGGGGAGACUGGAAUUCCUGGUGUAGCGGUGAAAUGCGCAGAUAUCAGGAGGAACACCGAUGGCGAAGGCAGAUCUCUGGGCCGUAACUGACGCUGAGGAGCGAAAGCGUGGGGAGCGAACAGG